UAGUUGGCAAUACUGAUUUUUACUUUGCUGCAUUACUGGUCCGCGGUCUGCGUGUACUGUUGACCAAGUGACACCCGGUCUAUGUGUUUAAAAUGUAUACCUCUACCUUGGGCCGUGACAAUGAACUGUAAUGUUACAUAUGUAUGUGUUAAUAUUCCCUUUUUUACAAGAAACAGACAUAAUAAAAUAUGACAAUGGGUUUCAAUUGGCACCAAUGAAAGUGAGAGUUUUAUGAUGGGUUGCCAGGGUUUCAAUGUCCCCAUGUUUUCUAAAGCUUUUUUUAAAGAAAUGGUUAAUAAUUUCAACCUGUAUCUUGUUACUAUCUAACUUGGAAGAUAUUAUUACUAUAACUCUGUAUCUUCGAUUUAGAUGGAUUCAAUAUGAGUUAUUUACAUUGACUUUUAACUACAAGACUUUUUUUGUAAAAUGUUUAGCGUGUUUUGAUGUGUGUGUUUCACCCCUUCAUGUUGUGUAAAAUUUUAGUGUGUUAAAUCCAAUUAUACUCAUUUAAAAUUGUUUUAAUGUUUGUAUACUAUUUCACAUUUUGUAUUGUUUUAUGCAACUUAGUAUAUUUACGUCUAGUCAAUAUAGAUAAAGUUAAUAUUCUAGAUAACUACCUAUUGAUUAAAUCACCUUUAGAGUUGAAUUAUUUCACAAAUAUGAUAUAAAUAUAACUCUUAAGUUUGCCUUUUUGUAUGUAUGCAAUAUGUGUAAACUUUCAUUUUCAUUUCAGACUGAAAAACAAGAAACUGCAAAGACAGAUAGUAAAUGAUGUUGGUGAAGAACCACCAACAUUGAAGGUGGUGCAAGGCAAGAACUUUCUUCUCUGCUCCGAGAGUUAACAGGACACAGAGGAUGCAAGAGUUGUGCAGCUGGAUGUGUGUUAUAUCUGCGAUUAUGUGAUAUUUACAUUUAAUUAUUUUAAUAAUGUACACAUAAACAGAACUCCACAGAUCAAGUUGAUUUUGGGAAUGUAUAGCUUCCUACCCACUUUGCUUAUACCUAAAUAUAUAUUGUCAUGUUAGACUUUUCUUAGGCUUCAGAGCAUAACUUUUACCAAGGAUCUGUUUUUAAUAUAUUUCACUUACCAAAAGAAAAGUAUUUAUCUUCACAGGUGGACAAAAUUUGCCAUUGACAGAUGUAGUUGAAUGAUUUAAGACAGUUUUAUAAUUAACAAUUUUAACAUUUAAACAAAGAAUAUUUUACAAAUUUAACAGUUAUUACUUUUUUGUUAUGAUGAAGUUUUUAACAUAAGAAAAUAGUAUAUUUUGUAAAAAAACGAAACAGCUAAAAACAACGUAGUGUGAUGAAAAACUUUUUUUUUUACUACACUACCGUGAAAUUAACUGUUUUUUGCCUAUGUUUAUCACCUGCAAAAUUCAUUAUUACAUUGUUUACUAUGCAAAAAAGAAUGUUUACAAUGCAAAAAUAAUAUUUACUACCUUUUUGGAUUUUUUUGGCAUAAACAAACAAACAUUUGUUAUUAUUUCAUCAGUGGUUUCAAUUUGCAACAACCAAAAAUGUACAAUCAAUGUAAAUUUAAACUUUAAGAUUAAAUAGAAGGCCAAGCCUUAAAAAUGCUAUUAUAGUUCGGCCGCUUAGAAAACGACCUGCGCGCUAAUGCUAAACCAAUGCUGGAGGAGGUCGCUUUCUAAGCGGCAGAAAUAUAGUUUUUAAAUGUUCAAGAAAAAAAAUAAAUAUUCCAAUAUCUGCA